GUAGAUUUUGGUGACUGGACAUAAGAAUUAGUAAGAAUUUAGGAAUUUGGUAUAGUUUCAGAUAACUUGGGUGCGAUAGUAUUUCCUAUAUGAAAAACACAAGGAAGUUUUGAAGUGAUAGUAGAGCUACAAAUUCAUUAUAUCCAAAAACUAGCACAGAAACCAUCAUAGAAUUGCAAGCAAGGAGUAUUAGUGUCUGAACUACUUGACUGUUAGUUUAUUGUGUACUUGAUAUGCGUUAGCUGGCGUUCUGAGUACUUCACAUGGAUUACCUCAUUUAUUCCUACAGUACCUCCGUGAGGAGUAGGUGAAAUUGUUGGGAGGAGCUAAGCUGGGUAAAGUGACUUCACUGAAAUCACGUGUUUAGGAAGUGGUGGAAUUUUGUAUGAUUGCAUCUGUAUGAAAUGUCCAGAAAUAAAGCAAAUCCAUAAAGUUGUUAUGUCCAGGCUGCCCUCCACUGGAAGGACAAUACAUGGGAGAAAAGAGUUGGUAGGAAGGAAUCAGAUUUAUUCAAUGGACAGCACUCCUGAGCAGUCAGCUGGGUUGUUUCCUCAAAGCUCCAUUUUAGGGUGUUCAAGGGUGCAAAGGGAUUUUAUAGGGAGGGAAUAGAGGAGCAAGGUGGGAAGGCUGUUGUGUUAAACAGGGUCUUCCUUAUCCAGGGUAUAUGUCUUCAUUUUUCUUCUGAAUAUUGCAAUGGAUCUUGACCUCCUGGAGCCAGCUUUUGGAGAUUUCCCUGAUGAAAAUCAAACUUUUCUGAAAAUCAGACUGUACAUGAAUUUAAAUGCUUUGUUUUAAUACUAGAGACUAAGGAAAGGAAGUUCUAGGUUCUAUAAAUCAAAGAUUUAGCAUUUAACAUCUUAACCUUUUAGGUGAGGCUUCUAUUUAGAAUGCAGGGCAAAAGGAAAGGGACAUAAAAGGAUUGAGGUACAUCAGCCUUGGAGAAGGGCACAGGAAGUAGCUGCCAAGGACCACUUUAACGGAGUGGUCCUAUUAUAGAGGCAGAAAAUAGCUUAGUGGUUGAGAGUGAUAAUGGGAUGAAUGUGAGUGAACAUCAGGGGUCUUAUUAGGAUGAUGCAAAUACUUUAAAAUUGAUUUAUGGUGAUCCUUGCACUUCUGGGUAAGUUUACUAAAAAACACUGAAUUGUAUUCUUGAAAUGGGUACGUUUUAGGAUAUGUAAAAAUAAGCCUCAAUAAAGUUUUGAAAGUGUUUGGAGUUGGAAUCAUUAUAAUUUAUUUUCACUGGAGUGUAAUAGAAAAUGCUCCCCCACCUUUUUAAAAGAAAUAACAGAGAUUCUGUAUACUCUUUUUAUUAAUGCCUUU
rnacentral:lncRNA from 1 species